UACGGGGGGGGCAAGCGUUGUUCGGAAUUACUGGGCGUAAAGGGCGCGUAGGCGGCCUGCUAAGUCGAACGUGAAAUCCCCGGGCUCAACCCGGGAACUGCGUCCGAUACUGGUGGGCUUGAAUCCGGGAGAGGGAUGUGGAAUUCCAGGUGUAGCGGUGAAAUGCGUAGAUAUCUGGAGGAACACCGGUGGCGAAGGCGGCAUCCUGGACCGGUAUUGACGCUGAGGCGCGAAAGCUAGGGGAGCAAACGGG
rnacentral:rRNA from 1 species